AUACGUAGGUGGCAAGCGUUGUCCGGAUUUACUGGGCGUAAAGGGAGCGUAGGUGGAUAUUUAAGUGGGAUGUGAAAUACCCGGGCUUAACACGGAGCCUGCAUUCAAAACUGGUAAUCUUGAGUGAGGUAGAGGUAGAUGGAAUUCCCAGUGUAGCGGUGAAAUGCGCAGAGAUCGGGAGGAACACCAGUGGCGAAGGCGGUCUACUGGGCCUUAACUGACGCUGAGGCACGAAAGCAUGGGUAGCAAACAGGAUUAGAUACCCUGGUAGUCCAUGCUGUAAACGAUGAUUGCUAGGUGUGGGUGGACUGACCCAUCCGUGCCGGAGUCAACACAAUAAGCAAUCCACCUGGGGAGUACGGCCGCAGGGUUAAA
rnacentral:rRNA from 1 species